AUUGAACGCUGGCGGCAGGCCUAACACAUGCAAGUCGAGCGAGCGGCGGACGGGUGAGUAAUGUAUGGGGACUGCCCGAUAGAGGGGGAUACCUACUGGAAACGGUGGCUAAUACCGCAUACUAUCGGAUAACACAAAUGGGAUUCGCUAGUAGGUGGGGUAAAGGCUCACCUAGGAGACGAUCUCUAGCUGGUCUGAGAGGAUGAUCAGCCACACUGGGACUGAGACACUGCCCAUACUCCGACGGAGGCAGCAGUGGGGAAUAUUGCGCAAUGGGGGCAAGUCUGAUGCAGCCAUGCCGCGUGUAUGAAGAAGGCCUUCGGGUUGUAAAGUACUUUCAGCGGGGAGGCGUUACCCGCAGAAGAAGCACCGGCUAACUCCGUGCCAGCAGCCGCGGUAAUAC
rnacentral:rRNA from 1 species